rnacentral:misc_RNA from 1 species
GGCAAGACGGGCUGAGCGGGAAAGUUGUGAUGGUGACGGGGGCAUCGUCAGGAAUCGGGAGAGAGUUGAGUAUCGACUUGGCGAAAGCGGGUUGCAGGAUCAUUGUUUCAGCUCGUCGUGUUGACAAGCUGAAAUCUCUCUGCAACCACAUUAAUGGUCGUGGUAAUUCUGAAUUAGAUCCAGCCCCAAAUGCAAUCGCUGUCGAGCUAGACGUUACUGCCAAUGGUGGUAACAUUGAGGCUGCUGUGCAAAUAGCUUGGGAUGCCUUUGGACAUAUUGAUGUCUUGAUCAACAAUGCUGGGGUUAGAGGCUGUGUAAGUUCUUCGCUGGAAUUGCCAGAGGAGGAGUGGGAACAUACUUUUACGACGAAUCUCAGAGGAGCAUGGUUGGUGUCGAAAUAUGUUUGUAGACACAUGAUCGAUGUUAAACAGGGCGGAGGAUCUAUUAUUAAUGUGUCUUCAGUCGCUGGUCUGAAUCGGGUACUAGUACCUGGAGGUGUUGCUUACGCUUCUUCAAAGAUGGCUCUUGACAAGCUCACCGAGAUGAUGGCUCUCGAACUAGGAGUACACAAGAUAAGAGUAAACUCAAUAGCACCAGGCAUUUUCAAGUCUGAGAUGACAGAGAGCCUUAUUCAACAGAAAUGGUUCCAUGGUGUUAUUUCUAGGACUGCUCCUCUGAGAACUAUUGGAACGACAGAUCCGGCUUUAACAUCACUCGUGAGGUACUUAAUCCAUGCUUCUUCAGAAUAUGUAUCGGGCAAUGUUUUCAUUGUCGAUAGUGGAGCUACCUUAAUAGGCGUGCCAAUAUUCUCGUCACUCUAAAAGGAUAGAGGUACAAACAAAUUGAAACGAAGGGAGUAACAAAUAGAAGAGAAAGGCAACAUAUGCUUAAUAUUUAUUAUCUGUGAAUGGAUACAAUUAUAGUGCUUUUACAAAUACAUAUUCAUAUGACUAUCUAUCAGAUGCAAUGUAUCACCUAACAAUGGAAACAAUACUACAACUUGCAGUAUUUG